AGGACCUCCCGUUUUCGUCGCUGAUCGAUUCUGCUUCGCAGCGUGGACCGGCACAGCGCAUGUUGGUUCUCCUUCGGCGGUUUCCUGGAUCAAUGUGCCCGAAAUGCCCUUGGCUCCCGCGCCUCCCCUUCCAAGAUGCUUCCUUUUCCCCUUCAAAAGACGACGCCACCACAGGCGCACAGCCUUGCAUCCUCGUCAUCUUCGCCUGGACCCCUUGCUUUCUCUCUCUCUCGGGAUCGCUCCACGCCACCUCCGUCUCCGCCAACCAGGGCGCGGGAUCCCUCGGGUAGAAUUGCGAAGCUGCAGAUCGAGAAGUGAGCCAUGGCGAAGAUCAAGCCGAGAGCACUGCUGGCACAGAGCAAGCAGAAGAAGAGCCCUACUAAAAUCGGCCCAACAAUGUUUGCCUUCAUCGUCGUUGGUGCCCUAGUGGUGUCCUCACUCUACGCAUACAGGUACUGGAUGAGCAAAGGACCAGCUGGAGCAGAAAGUGUUGCUGGGAACUAAGCCCGAGCAAGUGUGGAAUGAUUGAUUUUUGUUGUUGUAUGUAUCAUCUUGUUGGCUAAUUUCUGUUGUUGUACUCCAGUAAAUGGUACGUAGACAGAUUUAUUUAUUUUGCCAUGUUUAGUUCCUCUUACCCACCUGGUACAUUGUAUUAAUACUUGUUUUGUUACACUCUUUUCUUUGACUUGAUAUUUUUCUCGCCUGGGAUGAUAUUGCUGGAAGGAUUGGUAUCGAUGGCAGCUGUUGUUGCUUUAA